CGAACGCUGGCGGCGUGCCUAAUACAUGCAAGUAGAACGCACAGUUUAUACCGUAGCUUGCUACACCAUAGACUGUGAGUUGCGAACGGGUGAGUAACGCGUAGGUAACCUGCCUGGUAGCGGGGGAUAACUAUUGGAAACGAUAGCUAAUACCGCAUAAUAUUAAUUAUUGCAUGAUAAUUAAUUGAAAGGUGCAAUUGCACCACUACCAGAUGGACCUGCGUUGUAUUAGCUAGUAGGUGAGGUAACGGCUCACCUAGGCGACGAUACAUAGCCGACCUGAGAGGGUGAUCGGCCACACUGGGACUGAGACACGGCCCAGACUCCUACGGGAGGCAGCAGUAGGGAAUCUUCGGCAAUGGACGAAAGUCUGACCGAGCAACGCCGCGGGAGUGAAGAAGGGUUUCGGAUCGUAAAGCUCGGUUGUAAGAGAAGAACGGGUGUGAGAGUGGAAAGUUCACACUGUGACGGUAUCUUACCAGAAAGGGACGGCUAACUACGUG
rnacentral:rRNA from 1 species